UUUAGUCAUGAUACCUAUUCUAAAAUCUAAAGGUAUAUGUUAAAUAUUAUCAUCAUUAACAACAAUAAAACUAUACAUUUCGCUGCUUUAUCACACUGAAACAACUCCCAUUGGUAGUUUUAUUUUAUUACUUCUAUCAUGAUUGGUUAAUCUGGCUGUCAUUCAGGAAACAAUUAAUCGGUUCGCGCUUUUCUACAUUUAAAAAUAUGACCGUUGUUGUCGUCUUUCUGUGAGUGACUGAGGCGGCUAACUGUGAGCUGCUGCUCGUUAUAACUGACUGGUCGGUCGGUCCCGAAUUAUUUCAUAUUUGCCUGUACAUUUUUUAUUUAUUUUGAGCGAAUUUGAGUCGUGACCUGUCAAUGGAGAACAAAAACUGUGAACACAAGAAAGGUCAGGUGUUCUGCGAGGUCCUGAAAACAUCCUGUCAAAAUGAGGUAAGAAAAUCGCUAACGUUAUCUUUAUUAUCUUUUGAAAAUAGUAAAGUAUUACCAGAGUUUACAAAUGGGUAGUUAAAAGGACAUGUAACCUGCAGAUAAAUAAAUACCCGUGUGUCUAUUUUUGCAUUGCUUUAUCACAGAUGAUCAAGUUAGAUGCUCACCUAAUGUGUUGCUGGUGAGUUAUGUGUUAAUGUCUGUCUUUUAGAGAUUUUCCCAUAUUUUCCUGAUAUGAAUCCCAUGCAUUAGGUGUGUUAUAUAUGUUUGUAUUCUUAUAAUAGUUUCAAAGUGUUUUCUGCAACAUAUAAGUGCAAAUGUCGGUAUUUAAAUAAUAUAAUUUUAAUGAAUUAAUGAAAAUGAAAAAAGAAAUAAAAAAGGAUUGUUUAAAGCCAUGGUUCUAAAAGGGUCAGGCCCCCUCUAGUUGUUUUGCAGGUGAAUCACUAAAUUAAACUAAUUAAUGUUAAUACAUUUUAACUUAAUCUUUGAGUAAGUUUUUUUUUUUGCACAUUUAAGUAUGUUACAGUUAAAGUACAGUACAGUUUUGUAACUUUUGUUACAUAAUUACAUUUAAAAUUAAAUUUUAAUUUAAACUUUUUUUUUUUCAUUUACCUGUGUAUGUAAGCACAGUUGUAGUGUUAAUGUUCAAACUGUAUUUACCAUGGUAAAGUGUCUGACAAUUAAUUUUCUUAUUAGAAUAAAACUGCCUCAUUUUUUAACUAUAGACCUGUAGCUGAAUAGUUUGGCCUACUACACUGCUGAAAUGUAAUGUUGGUCAUUAUGGUGCAACUUCAUAUUUAAUAACAAAUAUUUUCUGAAGUGGUACUUAUAAAAAGUUUGAGAAUCAAUGGUUUAAAGCAGUGGUCUCAAACUCAAUUCCUGGAGGGCCACAGCUCUGCAGAGUUUAGCUCCAACCAGCUCCAAAUCACACCUGCUUGGAAGUUUCUAGUAAUCCUGAAGACCUUGAUUAGCUGAAUCAGGUGUGUUUGAUUAUGGUUGGAGCAAACUGUGCAGAGCUGUGGCCCUCCAGGAAUUGAGUUUGAGAUCAAUGGUUUAAAGAAAUGGUAUAAUAUGAAAUCCUGCUUUUUAAGAACUUUUCAGUAAACUCUUUCUUCUUUCCCCUUGUAGAGUCAUCAAGGAUCCAGCUUGUUCUUGAAACAUUGAAGUUUGCCCUCUGCAAGUGAACGAUUCCUUGUGGUGCCAUCCCAAAGAAGUUCACAAUCACCCUCACGGAUCUUUUCCUGGACUGUACCCAGCUGGUGGAAUCACCUCCCAAUCUCAAUCCGAACUGCUGAGUCUUUACUCAUUUUCAAGAAACAUCUUAAGACUCAUCUUUUUCACCAGAACUUAACCAACUAAUGCUAGCACUUUUCCUUCUUUUCUUGUCUUUCAUAUUGAAAAAAAAAAAAAAAAACCUGGCUAUGCGUUCUGAACUAGACUAACUGAGACUUGUCAUGGCACUUGUAUCCUGUUGUUGUUCGCUUGUACACCUGACUGCUUCUGUUCUUCUCAUUUGUAAGUCGCUUUGGAUAAAUUUGUCUGUUUAAUGAUUAAAUGUAAAUGUUUAUACAGGACGGUACAGAAAGUGCACAAGUGGGAGAGAGUGGAGGGGACGGUGUCAGAAAGGACCUAGCGCUGGGACACUUUCAAGGAUCACCCGAAGCACAACCACACUGUAUACACUAAGGCUGCUGGUUCUAACAUUUUAGAGUGCCCUGCGGUAGAAAUCUCAUUCUGCAUUCCCCACGGUAAAGAAGACACAGUCCGGGGGGGUUCCCAUUAGAAAUGAACUGGUGGAAGGUUCCCUUCUCGAACUGUUCAACACAUUUUCACUGCACAAAUGUACACAACUCUUGUAAUGAGACACAUUACUAAAACAUGUUUUUGACAGAAACUGUAGGUUUCCACCAAAAUAAAAGAUCCACUGGUUUCAGUCAUAAAGGUACAAGGGUUUGUCUUGUAAGUGCUGCAAAAAAAUAUGCAUUUAUGUGCCAAAUUAUUUCACAAAAACCUUUAAAUAUUAUUGUAUUUGGAUUGUUCUACUACAUGUUUUUAGCAUUACCUCCAUGCAUACUCUGCAUAAUAAAGUGUGGGAUUAUUUUCAUCUGUUUUAUACAGUAUGUUUCCAAAAUUAAACUGCUGUUUGACAAUUUUGA